rnacentral:lncRNA from 1 species
AACUGACCAAGGCAGAAUCUUCAGCAGCUCAAUGGAAACCAUCUGGAGGGAGGGGCUGCCCUCGGGGCGGGGAGAGUCCUGGCUCCUGGGCCUGCUGUGCACUCCCUGCCUCCAUAGGAGACACGGCUGGACAGCUCAGGAGCCUUCCCUGCCAGACCUACCCCCAGGAGAGGCUCUGCCCGAGCCCUGAGGGUGUGGGUGGGUGCUAGCUGACUUAGCAUGCUGGUGAUUCAAGGGUCCCCCUGAUAACACAGGGGUCAGGAGGGGGUCCUCCCACUGCAGGGUCUGCAGGUGGCCAGAUUCUGACUGUCUCCAGGCUUGUCAUUGCUAACAUCUGUGGGCACCCUUGGGUGACUGCUGGGCAUGGGGCUACAUCCUGCUACCUCACCAGCUCCUUCUCUAGGAGGUCUGGAUCAGAGACUGUCCCCACACGGGGUAGGGUUGGGUUAGCAGGAUGGAGCCUGCCCCUGGUGCAAAAGCUCGGACAUACUCACAGAGGGGAUCUGCCCCAGUAAAGGGACUCUCUGAAGGACUCCCUCUGUCUACAGGGGUCCUCCAUUCGGGACCUGGCCAGAUUAUUAGGGCUAUGGGGUAGGAGACAGUGACCUGGGGCAGGAAGUUCCUCUGCCUGGAUGGUCCAUUGAAGGACUCACGAGUCACCUUUACUCUGUAGAAUCUCCUGCUCUGGCCCUUGCUGUGGGGUCUAAUGCCAAGUGCCAGUGUGCCCACUCUUCU